rnacentral:rRNA from 1 species
AGUGAACGCUGGCGGUAGGCCUAACACAUGCAAGUCGAACGGCAGCACAGUAAGAGCUUGCUCUUACGGGUGGCGAGUGGCGGACGGGUGAGGAAUACAUCGGAAUCUACUUUUUCGUGGGGGAUAACGUAGGGAAACUUACGCUAAUACCGCAUACGACCUACGGGUGAAAGCAGGGGAUCUUCGGACCUUGCGCGAUUGAAUGAGCCGAUGUCGGAUUAGCUAGUUGGCGGGGUAAAGGCCCACCAAGGCGACGAUCCGUAGCUGGUCUGAGAGGAUGAACCGCACCACUGGAACUGAACAACGUCCCUGACUCCUAGGGGGGGCAGCGGUGGGAAAUAUUGGCCAUGGGGCGAAAGCCUGUACCAGCCACACGGGGUGGGUGAAGAAGGCCUUCGGGUGGUAAAGCCCUUUUUUUGGGAAAAAAAAGAGGCAGGUUAAACCCCCCCUGUUCGACGGGAACCAAAAAAAAAAGCCCCGGCAACCUUCGG